GGAGGCAGCAGUGGGGAAUUUUCCGCAAUGGGCGAAAGCCUGACGGAGCAAUACCGCGUGAGGGAGGAAGGCUCUUGGGUCGUAAACCUCUUUUCUCAGGGAAGAAAAAAAUGACGGUACCUGAGGAAUAAGCAUCGGCUAACUCCGUGCCAGCAGCCGCGGUAAUACGGAGGAUGCAAGCGUUAUCCGGAAUGAUUGGGCGUAAAGCGUCCGCAGGUGGCAAUGUAAGUCUGCUGUUAAAGAGUGAGGCUCAACCUCAUAAGAGCAGUGGAAACUACAUAGCUAGAGUACGUUCGGGGCAGAGGGAAUUCCUGGUGUAGCGGUGAAAUGCGUAGAGAUCAGGAAGAACACCGGUGGCGAAGGCGCUCUGCUAGGCCGUAACUGACACUGAGGGACGAAAGCUAGGGGAGCGAAUGGGAUUAGAUACCCCAGUAGUCCUAGCCGUAAACGAUGGAUACUAGGCGUGGCUUGUAUCGACC
rnacentral:rRNA from 1 species